rnacentral:rRNA from 1 species
UACGGGGGGGAGCAAGCGUUGUUCGGAUUUACUGGGCGUAAAGGGCGCGUAGGCGGCCACCGCAAGUCGACUGUGAAAUCUCCGGGCUUAACCCGGAAAGGUCAGCCGAUACUGCGGGGCUAGAGUACAGAAGGGGCAACUGGAAUUCUCGGUGUAGCGGUGAAAUGCGUAGAUAUCGCUUGGAACGCCGACGGCGAAAGCAGUCUGCUGGGGGUGUGCUGACGCUGGAGACACGAAAGCCAGGGGAGCGAACGGG